rnacentral:lncRNA from 1 species
AAAAAAUAAAAAAAAAAAAAAAAUAAAUAAUGAGCACAUCAAAAAGUUCAGUUUAUAGAGGAAAGGGAUUUAUUUUAAGAUGCGCGAAUAAAGAAUUUGUUGAAAGUAAUAAUGUUAAAACCCACUCGUCCUCUCAAAAAAAUAUAUUUAUUGAGAGUAAAAAAAAUAAUAUUUUUAAUAAAUAUAAUCCAGUUGUGUUACCUUUAAUUGGACGAAAUUUAAAUAAAAAUAAAAAAAACGAACUUGAAAAUGAAAAUGAUGAUAACGAAAAGGCUAAUAAUAACAUAAAAAAGAAAAAUAAAAAAAGUGUUAAAAAUGUAAACAUAUUAAAUGAAAGUGAAAUAAAUAGUUUUUUGCUGAGAAAUAAAGCUUUUCGACUAACAUGGUCAUGUAUAAUACAAACAGUUAAAAAAGAAAUAGACAUUCAAGUAUCAAAAAACUUAAAUAAUGUGUUUGAAGAAAUUUAUUUAUAUUCUAUAUCUAACAACAAAUAUUUGCCUUUAAUUUUAAUGACAGCCGGUACAAAUGUAGAAGACCAUGAAAUAAUAAUUGAUACAUUAUCGUAUGAGUUAAAAAAGUGGAAUUAUUAUAAAAAAGGUAACAGAAAGAAUAGCAAUAGUAAUUUCUCUGAUGGUGCUACUGGUCUAAGUUAUGACAAUGACAAUAGUACCAAUUACGAUAGUACCAAUUACGAUAGUACCAAUUGUGGUAGUACCUAUUGCGAUUAUAAUAGUAAUCAUAAUCAAUAUAUUAACAGAACAGAUAAACGUGGGCUCGGUUUAUACCAAAACGAAGGUAACUACGACGACGAUGACAAAGACUCUUAUGUUUGUUUACUAAAUUCGAACACAUCAAAUAGUGUUAACUCUGCCAUUUGUAAUAUAUACAAUCAACUAUAUAAAGAAUAUAACACUCGUUUUUUAAUUAAAACACAAUCCGGAAGUAGGAAACGAAGCAUAAGAAUAAAAAAUUACAAUGACAUGGAUGAUAUAAAAAAAAAAAUGAAAAUAAGUAGCUUUAAUAGUAAUAUGUACAGUAAUUCUUUUGAUGAAGAAGUAGAUGAAAAGAGUGGAAAUAAUCUAGAGAAAAGUGUUAUUAAUAGUUCUUUAAAUUUAAAUAAUAUAUUAGAAGAGGAUUGUAAAGUUAAUAAAAAAAGUAUUAACUUGGAUAAAAUAGUAGAAUUAUAUAAAAACAUGAGUCAGCUAUAUAUGAAUCGAAACAGUUUAUCAAAUUUGACAAGUAUGGAUAAAAAUAUGAAUGAAGGAAGUGGUAUUGGUUUUAUUGGAGACAGUGAUAGUAUGAGUUGUAGUAGCAAAGAAAAAAUGUCAUUAAUAUGUGAAGAAUCAGAAGAAGGUAAUAAAAAAAAAGUUACAGAAAUACACGAUGUUGAACUAGAGUUAUAUAACAAACAGAACUCUUAUUUUUCGGACGGAAGAAAAAAGGUAAGAAUAAUUAUAUUAAUACAUGAUUGUGAAUAUUUUAAUAUUAAUGUAUUAAAUGGUAUUUUAAAUGCAUUAAUAAAUUUAAGAAUUGAUAAUAAAAUAUGUUUAAGUGUAGUGUUAUGUGUAUCAACUCCUUCUUUUUUUUUUAACCGUAUUACUACACCUGACACUCAAAGUAAAUUAAGAAUAAAAACGAUUGACAUAUUGAAUAAUAAAAUAGUAUGUGAAAAUAUAUGUGAUAGUUUAUUAUAUCAAAAUAUUAUACCAUUUAUAUUAACUUUUAGAACUAUGUAUGCGAUAAAAUUAUUAUUGUAUAAGAAUAAUCAGUCUAUUAGCCAUUUGGUACAUAUCCUAUACAUUUUAACAAAAGAAUUUUAUGAUAAUAAUUUAUUUUCCUUUUUGUCAUUACCUAUGAAUUAUUAUUUUGGUCUCAACAAUAGUAGUAAUGGUAACACUAUGUUAGAUGACACGAACCAAUAUCAGCAACAGUCAUAUAGUAAUAACAAUAAAGAAACUAAUUGUAACAUUCUAAAUAAUCAAACAACUACCGAAUACUCACCUUAUACCUAUGUAAGGUCUAAUAAAAAAUCAUUUGUUAAUUAUAUAAAAUAUGAUAUAAGUAUAUUACAUAAAAAAAUAAUUGCCUUGUGUUACUCUUCAAAUUUAUACUAUGCACACAUGUAUUAUUUAAAAAAAAAAUAUUCUACCAUAUUAUUAAAAAAUUAUUAUAAAAUACACGGAGAUAAUUCGGUUGUACAUACGCCUGGGAAUUCGGAUAAUGAGUUAGAGGUAUUUACAUUAAAAAAAAAAAACAAAAAAAAAAACGAUGACAAUCAAACAAAUAUAUCGGAAGAGUAUACAAACUUAGAUAUAGUAAAAAAUAAACAAUUGAUGGUAGACCAAGUAACCGAUUCGAUUAAUUUAAAAAAUGAUGAAUUGUUUUAUAUUCUUCAGGACGAGAAAAAUAACAACAAAAUAAAUGAAACAAAUGAUCAGUUGAGUUCGAUUUGUAAAUUUGAUACUAGUACAACCAUAGCUAGUGGUAGUUAUAAAAGUAUUGGUGAAAAUAAUAUACAAAAGGAUGUGGUUACUAGAAAAGAUGGUGAAUGUUAUAGUAAUAGUAAUAAUGACACUAACAACGAUGAUGUUAAAGGUUAUAUAAGCGAUAAUAAUGAAGAAGAGGAAUCAUCAAAAAAGAAAAACGAAAUAACAUUUAAUAGAAACGAAUACGCAUGGCAAUUUAAAGCAAACACUAUUAAUUGGUGGUAUGAUCACCCGUUUCGAGAUUUGAUAUAUUCCUACGAUAUUUUAAAAAAAGAAAAUAAUUUGAAAAAAGGCUUAAGCAAAAAGUUAAGUAAUGGUAGUAACAAAAUGAAAUGUGUCACGACGAGUAACCAAGUAAAUGGUAAAAAAGAAGAAGAUGUGUUUGAGCAAUCUGUAUAUAAUAAAAAUAAAAAUUUAUAUGAUAUAGAAAAUGUAAAAGAAAUUAACAAAGAUAUAUGUGAAUUGAGUUUACCCAUUUGUGUUUUACAACUAAUAGAAAGAAAAUACGCUUUUGUUAUUGCUAUAAAUUUUAUUAAUAUUAUUAUUUCCAAAUGUAAAUCUGAAUAUACAAAUAAUAGCUUAAAAAAAAAUGAGUUUUUCAAAAAUUUAUUUGAAUGUAGUGAAAAAAUAAAAUGGAGUGAUAUGCAUAAUAUUGUAUUUAUAGAAGACAUGUAUAAAAUAGUUGAAAAUGAAGUUAAAAAGUGUAUUAAUUUUUUAAUAGAUUGUAUAAGUCCAUAUUAUUUUAAAAACCAAAAAAUCCUAUAUGAUAUAUUAACUGAGUUUAAAAAUUAUUUUUCAAACAUAUAUAUAAUAGUAUAUAAUUUGGAAGAUUACUUAUAUUUGUUAAAAGAAAAAGAAUAUAAAAAAAAUACAAAAACUUUUAUUAACGAUGAUUUUUCCAAAAAUUUGAAUUACUCCUUUUCGUAUUCAAUUUAUUAUACCAUGCUUUCCAAAUUGGAUGAUCUUAUUGAGAUAUUUAGAAAGUAUAUACAGAAUAAAAAAAAUAAUAUAUAUACGGAUAGCGGUGCCGAAACAGGAAAUACUGUAACAAACUAUAUGUACUCCAACAUUAGUUAUAAUAAUAUGACAAAUGUUAGUUCUUUUAUAAAAAAAACAAAUGACCAUUCCAAUGUUGAUCAUAAUUAUAGCAUCAAAAGUUCUGCUGGUGAUAGUAGUAGUACAUUCGAGUUUAGUAAAACAUAUGAAGGUGGUCAGCAAAAUGAAAACGAAAAAAGUGGCGAAAAAGGUGGUGAAAAAGGUGGCGAAAAAGGUGGAGAAAAAGGUGGCGAAAAAGGUGGAGAAAAAAGUGGCGAACAAAAUGGCGAAAAAGGUGGCGAAAAAGGUGGAGAAAAAAGUGACGAACAAAAUGGCGAACAAAAUGGCGAACAAAAUGGCGAACAAAAUGGUGAAUACCAUUUCUUAGAUAAAGAACAAGGCAUUUUACCAAAUGCAGACAGCAAUGUAAAUAUGGUUGAUAAAAAAGAAAAAAAUAAUAACUUGAAUAAAUAUGAUACUACACAGAACAAUACAGACAUGAUAAACGAUAUAAGUAAACGUGUUGUACGAAGGUAUUUAACAAUUGAAAAUUAUUCUUUAAUUAGUAAAAAUAAAGAUAGUGGAAUAGAAAAAGAAAAAAAAGUUAUAACAGUUGAAGUGUUAUCAAAUAAUUUAAAUUUAUUCAUACAUGAUUAUUUAUAUUUAUUAUUACUUCCACCUGUACAUUAUCAUCCAUUAGCGCAUGAAUUGAUUGUACAUAAACCUAGUAGAGAUUUUACUGAAGCCAUGACUAGAGAUAUAAAAACGGAAUUAUUAGAAAUGCUAUGUUAUACUAACCCAUAUAGGACAGGUAGCUUAAUGUGUCAAUGUUGUUUAUUACCACGCAAUUUAUCCAAUCCAAAUAAAAAUACGAACAUAAUUUAUCAAAAUAAAAUAUUUUUAAACCCAUAUUUAGAUAACAUAUCAAAGUUAGAAGACUUAGUUAACAUGUACAGAAUAUAUGAACGAUGUAACAAAACGAUAGAGUUAUAUAAUUUUUUUAUUUUUUUUAUUAACAUUAAAAUUGACAAGUUUAUGGGCUACUCGAUUGAGAAAAAAAAGAUUGUUACUACUACAGGGGAAGAAAAAACAAAGCAACCGGGUCUUAAAAAAUGUAAAAAAAUGGAAGAAACCCUAAAACAAGAACUAAUAAAACAGGAAGAAGUAAUAAAUGACGAAAACCAAACCAACAAAGAAUUAUGUACACAAAUAUUACAAGAAUAUUAUUUAAAAUUUAUUAUAGCACUUAAUACAUUUUGUUCUUUUUUGAAAAUUCUAAAACCACCUAACGUAUCUGCUCUUUUAAAUUAUGCAAAUGAUAACGAUGAGUAUCUAUCAGAUGAUGACUAUUACAAUGGUAAUGGAAAAGAUGACACAAAGGGUAGUAAAAAUAAUGCGGAUAUUGAAGAAGUUUCAGUUGGGAAGUUGUUAAUGGAUAUCAAAAAAUCAUUACAAGGAUGUACAAGUAAAAAGUUAUUAUUUGGAAAAUUAUAUUACAAUCAAACUAUUGUGUCAAGGGAAUUACUUUUGCAAAAAUUUCUGGAGUAUAACAUAGACAAUACAAAUGGUACACAAUCAUAGUGCUUAAAUUAAUAUGUUAUGACAUGUGGAUAAAAAUACAAUUGGUGCAUACAGGAAAAAAAAAAAAAAAAAAAAAAAAAAAAGAAACCAGAUAAUAUCAUAUCACAUCAUAUUAUACCAUAGUUUUUUUAGUCAUUUUUUUUGGUCCCCUUGUUUACCCACUUAUUUACUGCUACUCUUUUUAGAACCGUUAAGCAACUCAUUCACUGUGUUUUAUCUUAUAUAUAAAUAAAUAUAUAUGCAAAUUUAUUAUUAAUAUUAUA